AUUGAACGCUGGCGGCAUGCUUUACACAUGCAAGUCGAACGGCAGCGCGGUCUUCGGCCUGGCUGCGAGUGGCGAACGGGUGAGUAAUGCAUCGGAACAUCCCCAUUUGUGUUUUAUUGCCCGGUGAAAGCCGGAUUACUACCCCAUACGACCAGAGGGUGAAAGCGGGGGAGCGAAAGACCUUCCGCUCUUGUGGGGUCCGAUGUCGGAUUAGCUAGUUGGUGGGGUAAAGGCUUACCAAGGCGACGAUCCGUAGCUGGUCUGAGAGGACGAUCAGCCACACUGGGACUGAGACACGGCCCAGACUCCUACGGGAGGCAGCAGUGGGGAAUUUUGGACAAUGGGGGCAACCCUGAUCCAGCCAUGCCGCGUGCGGGAAGAAGGCCUUCGGGUUGUAAAGCGCUUUUGUUGGGGAAGAAAUGCUGUGGGCUAAUACCCCGGGGGGAUGACGGUACCGGAAGAAUAAGCACCGGCUAACUACGUG
rnacentral:rRNA from 1 species